AGCAUUUCUUCUUUAGCGAGGCUGUUGGAAGAUAAAAGGGGAAGGAGGAAUUUCUGGGCCUUGGUGGCUGUGAGGAGCUGCAAGUGAUGCUGAACGCGAUCUUCCAGCUGGCCUGGGGCCCUGGUGGAGACUGAACAUGGAACGAGAGAUUAGAAGAUAAUUCUGAAACAAAUGCCAGCCACUCUUUAAUUACAAAAAUGACGGAUGGACUGUAUCAUCAUGUGCCUGAGAAUCAUUGUGUUUUAAAGGACUUGGAUCAUCUUCCUACUGAGACGUAAGUUCCAGGACAUCCUGACAACUGUUGAAACAUUGAUUCUGCAGAUUAGCAUAGCAAACUUAGACAUUUUCUAUGUUUUAGAUUUUAUAAAGUAGUCUUAGAAUCCCACUGUAACUGCUCCAAGAGGAAUUAUGAGAUCAGUUAUGACAAUCUCUGUGCAAGCGUGGCACAUCUGAUGAGGCUGUGAAUGUCACAUUCUGUUUGCCACAAUUCAGUGUAUUUAAUUAACACUUGCCGCAUGUCACGGUUGUCGCUGCAGACCCACCAGUGAUACGCAGCUAGCCCUGGCUCCCAGAAAGCCGCAGCCUUGCAGGUACAGAAGGAGAGUGAGGUACAGGUGAGGAUCACAAUGCCUGCUCCAAGUCUGGCUCUGUUUGCAGGUGGCCCCAGCUGCUCCGUGAGCUCUGCAGCACACCCUUUCCUACCCUCUUCUGCCCCAGGAUUGUGCUGGAAGUGCUUCUUGUGCUCCAAAGCAUCGGCAAGCAGUGUCACCACGUGUCUGGCCAGGUCACCAUUGCCUCGGAGCUGAGACACAGGCAGUGGGUGGAGAGGACGCUGCGGUCUCGCCAGCGGCAGAACUACCUGCGUAUAUGGAGUAGUAUCAGACUACUGUCCCCUGUGCUCAGCCUGAUCCUGUUCCUCAUUACGCUGGAGUUGGUCAACGUUCAUGCUGUUCGUGGGAAGAAUGCGCAUGAGUAUCAGCAGUACCUAAAGUGAGUAUGUCCCACUUCUCUGUAGUCGCAUUGCAUCGUGGGAAAGAUUGGGGGUGAGCCUGUAGGAGUGAGACUGGGGCAGCAUGAGGGCCACCAUCUCCUUGGUGGCCCCACCGCCGUCUCAGGCAAGGGUCUGACAUCUGGCCUGCAAGAAAAACUCCCACAUCCAAAUGUCUAAAAGCCACAUUUUGUUUGUUUGUUUUUCGGAGACAGAGUUCCAUCUGGAAAGGCAGGAAAACACAAAGGUGGGGGCCUUCCAGGUUAUAGGUGGACAAGAGACAAAGGAUUGCAUUGUUUUGAGUCUUUCAUAAGCCUUUUGGUAAAUAUACAAUUGACUUGUGAGUGGGGGUAGAGGAAUGGUGACUUACACUUUAGUGUGGCUCAGUGAAGAUGCAUUUUACACAGGGCAGAGGAAGCAAUCAUAUAGGUAUUUGUCUCAGGUGAACUGAGGGAUGACACCCUGUCCCAACCCUAAACCUAACCCUAACCCCUAAACCUAACCCCUAACCCUAACCCGGACCCUAAACCUAAACCCUAACCCGCACCCUCACACUCACCCUGACCAUAACCCCUAGCCCCUAACCCUGACCCUAACCCCGAAACCCUAACCCUAACCCCUAAACCUAACAUUAUCC
rnacentral:lncRNA from 10 species